UAGAAUUUGUUAUAUACGAUUUUAUAUAAACACCACGAGUAUACAUUUUAUAAAAUCGUUUGCACAUUGAAACAUUUUGGGAAGCGAUUUGUCCGAUGUCCGAACCCAUUUUGAUCACAAAGCGUGUAUCGUGAAUCCAGCGCAGCCAUCUGUCCCUAACUCUGUCCCUAACACUGAACCCCGACGCCUUGAAGGACAAGGAACCCUCCCACCGUGGGGAGGAAGGAACCCUCGAUGGAACACGCUAGGUGCAUCCAAACGUGCAACAGAUGGUGAGAAGGUCACGUUUGUGGAGGAGAUGAAUCCACAGGCCAAGGUCACAUUGUGUGAGUGUGAAGGAGAUGAAUCCACAGGCCAGCGAUGAGUGGCGG
ensembl:lncRNA